GAAAUAAUAAACAUUUUAAGCAAAUGUGGGAGUUCCCUGCAUCUUGAAAAGUUUCCCUUGCACUUAGUUAAUCAUCCCCUCGAGGGCAGUUUUACAAGGCGCCUUGUCUGUACAAUGUACACAGGCUGAUUACAUUUAAAUCUUCUCUUCUAACGAACGGCAUUUCUAAAGGAAAAGCCUAAUUUUGUCAGACAAGCUGAAUCCUGUCAUUCCCCUCGUCUUGUUUAUGUAGGGAAAAAUAAAGCCAGUAUCUAUGUUGAAAUGGGCCACACCUCAACCAAAAUGCUAAUGUAAAACAAAAGCAAAUAGAAAUCAUUCCUUUUCCUUUCUCUCCAGAUUCACUUUAUGAUUAGCCCGAGUGUUUGCAUUUGCACAACCACAUGUUGGAAAAGUGAGAAGAUGAAUAGUCCAAAACAAUCACCGCCUUCCAUGCGGAAAAAUUCCGCAUCCACCUAAAAAAUCAUCUUAUUGUUUCUAAUAUGUCAUCUUUUCACUCAGCACUAAAAUUCAGCUGUUUCUGGGGGUGGAAGCACAAAGCCAUUCAAUAUUUUUUUUAUUUUAUUUUUUUAUUUUUUAUGGGAGCAGAUGAAGUUCCCCCACCCCACCCUCUCUUCCAAAUCCAGUUUCCCUCCUGCCUCUCCAGGAGGAAAAAAAAAAGAUCUAAAUUUAAGCAGAAGUGAAUGAACAAGCUGAAAGAGUAGUAAAAAACUGUAAAAACAACAGCAAAAGUAAACUGAAAAGCACUUAUCUCUCCACCACCAUCCAAAAAAGACCAGCAAACAACCAACAAGAGAAACAACUCCAGUCCUGAAGCAAUCUGAAUCAAAACGGACAACCUGGAACACAUCUGGCAAGUCAGGAUGCCCUUUCAAAGUUACGCAUUUAUUCAACCAAUACAUCUGCACAAUGCCACGCAUGAGGCACUGCUCAAAGCAUUAGGUCCCAGAGUGAGCUUGUCCCGAAACUGCUUUUGAAAGAUAAAAUUCAUGAAACUCCAAGAGCGUUCCAAGAAUGUGGGCCCUCGGCCUGGCACUUCCAGCCAAGUGGAAAAUCUCGCCAACCCAGCGGUGUGAUGCUGUAGAAGAGGAAGGGCUGUCGAAGACAUCUGAACUUGGCAGGGGAAAGGAGCCAACCCUGCCACCUUGGACAGUUACCAGAUUGCUACUAAUUACUGUCUUUAAAUUCUAUGGGCAGCUGGGAUGUGUAUGGAUGUUGGAAAUGACUGAAAGAACAGAACUCCUGAGCCAUAUCCGUAUCCCUGCAGCUUCAAAGCCAGAGAAGACUAACUAGCAGACAAAUAAGUGAUGAUCAAAACAGAAAGUGGAAAGUUCUUUCUCCAGCUGAUGGCAAUAGCAGUACCAGAAGGUGAAUAUUAAAGUUCAUGGAAGCUAUAAGAGUUCUGCUGAAGAUCCAGAAUGGUCCAAAAAAGGUGAAGAUUUUCCAGAUAUGUGAUGUGGUUUUGAACUACUGCACUUGGGUGCUAUCCAAAUUGGAGCUUCCUAGACGUUCAUGGAGCAGCUUACGACUUUAAGAGAUCCCUUCAUCCAUGUUCUCUGAGUGGAGAAUUCACUGAACCCAAAUGACCCCUGCAAUGGCUUCUAAGUUCCUCAUCCCAGGGUUAUCUUUCAUUCCCAUAAAGCUGGUGAGAACUAACCUCCCUAGGGAAGCUUCCCUGAGUAUCUUGCCCCACCAAAUUCAGUGAACCAUCACAAGCUUGGAUUCCAGUUACCCUUUGACCAUAUCCAGAGACUUUCCCCCAGAAAGGACUCUUACUUGAGGACAAAGAAUUUAAGGUUAUAAGGACUUUAUGACAGAAGGUGUAUAUCUGGUUAGAUUAUUGACAAAAUUUAAAGUCAAAACAUCUUCUAAAAAGACGACAAAAAUUGUUUUCAGGGCAUAUAGAGGAGCUUCCAUCUAUGGAAUUCCAUCUAUGGGAUCCCAACACAUCUAGUUGGGACAGCGGAGCUCCAAUUGCCAGGGUAAGGAGAUGUUAUGCUGUGGACAAUCCAUGCUAAGAGGAUGAAGAGGCUCACAUGAUGGAGAACACAACCCCACUUGUGUGAAGGCUGCAGGAAAUAUUCUUCUGGCUGGGAGGGGGCCACUCAUCUGUGAAUAUCCCUAAAGAACAAUACAGAAAUCAAUUAUUGCUAAAUACUGAGGCUGUAUGAGAGUAGGAGUCCAUACUUAUUCAUAGAUGCAUCACAAGCAGCUAGAACAGUUCCCGGUGCCUGAUAACGAUUUAUUGAAUGAAUGAAGCAAAACCUUGCCUAGGCUUGAAAAAAGAAUAUGGGAUACUCUCAGGAAGAAGGUGAAGUGACUAAAAACAUCUCUUAAUUAACCCACCAGACAGUAAUAAUAAUAAAGUAAUAAUACCUGAAAGAAAGCAAAUCAUUUACCACAAUAGCAAAGAGUAAGCUAAAAAUAAACAAUCAAACAAACAAACAAACAAAAAACAAGCCCAGGUUAAUUUUACAAACAUUGCAACACCUCAGGUGAACAGCUAAUGGGAAGGGACCUGGGGAAGACUCCCAACCAUGUACCAACUUAUGCUGACCAUUUCAGUCAAAGGACAAAGGGAAAACAGGGACAAAGGGAAAACAGGAGAACAAGAAAGAAAUGUGACAUAUGAGUGAGCAAGCCAUCUGGACUUUUAACUAUCACAAAAUGAAAAGCAUUACGGAGUGUACCAGUUCACAGCAACAGCGGUGUUGAAGAUAAAGGCUCAGGUCAACAAAUCCAAAAUCAGACCUAUGAUCUCUCUCACACACGCAGUGCUCCUGUAUUCCUUAUCAGCAGAGCCUUCCCUGACCCCCUGCUUCGCAAGCCUGGGAGACGUGCCCCCCUCAUACCCUCAAAUCUCUCUGUGCCUGCCUUCCAACAGACCUCCUCUCUAAGUUCUGAGCUCCUUCACACCAAGGCACUGUGUCUUAUUCCUUGCUGUAUCUCAGCGUCUAACACAGUAUCUUGCAUAUAUAGUAAGUAGUUAAUAAGUAAUUGUCCAGAAAUUAAACAAAAUUAAUGGCUCCAUCAUCUACCCACUCAACCAAGACUUCUCCCUCUCUUACCCUCCAUGUCCAAGGUCACCAAGUCCUAGUUAACCGACUUAAAAUGUGUUUCAGGCCUGACCCCUCCUCUUUGCUUGGGUCUUCUUUUGCCUAGACUCUUACAGAGUCCUCCUGACAUUGGUCUCCUUGCCUCUGAGCACUCUCCUUUCCAACCCAUCCUCCAUAGCACAGGUGGCAAACUAGUAGCCCACAUACAUGAUUUGUUUAGCCCUGAAAAUCUUCUAAAAAUAAUAUGAAUUAGUUUCCUACAUUUUAAAAUCAGGGCUUUUCAAAUAAAAUUUUGGUUUUACAAUUUCUUUAAAAAUCACAGUGACUAGAAACAAAGGCACUUGAUUUCCAUAGGGCUGCAAUGAGCUAGAGGGAGCUGGAGGCAUGGAGCCUGCACCCUCCAGCAGGGACAUCCCCCUCCUUCCUCCUUGGCCUGCUUCCUUUGGCUUAUGGGCCUGUAGGCAUGGAUGCUUGUGGUACCUCCUCUGUCCUGUCACUGGAGCUAUCUGUAAGAAACACAGAGCUCAUCAAAUCGAAUCACAUGACUACAAUCCAACUUUGCUGGCAAAAUAAAAUCAUGGUGUACAUUCCAUACCUAUCACACACUGGCUCCAUCCACCUUUCAAGCCCAGGCCUUCAUUUUUCUCAGCCUGCACCUUGAGUGUGCUGGGCACUUUCCCCAUCUCUGAGGCUUUGCUCAAGCUCUGUUCUCUAGCUUGAGUGCCUGACCAUGUGCUGUAGUGGUCAAAAGAACAUGCUGGAAUCAGACUGCUUAGGUGCAAAUCCUCUCUAAGCCUUCCUCAUCUGUAAAAUGGAGAUAAGACUAGUUGAUACUUCAUGAGGUUACAGGGAGGAACAAAUAAGUAAUAUUUGUAAAAUUCUUAACACAGGGCUUGGCACAUAGCAAGAGCUUAACAGGUGAUCCCUGUGUUGUUGUCACUGUUGUCCUGCCCUUCUGUCCCUGAAGCAAUGCUGUUCCACCUCCAUAGCCAGUUCAGAUGUCACCUUCUCAGUGAAGCCUUCCUCAUCCUUCCACCCCACCCUAAACAGAGUGAGUAAUGAGAAUUUUGCACAUAAUUCUAGGAUGGCACUGGCCACAUCCUCUCACCUUUAGCUGUACUGUGUCCAGCCCCUGUGAGUAGCACUCACUCCCUAAGGGCUGGGCUGGACAUUUUCUAGCAUCCAGUGCCCAGACAAGAGAUGUGCAGCAUUUCUGGAAUGAGUCGGAUUGGACGUGAAGAUAGAAAUAGCCAGAGGGUUGUGGCACCCAGAUGGUUCAGGCAGUUAAACAUCUGCCUUCAGCU